rnacentral:rRNA from 1 species
AACGCUGGCGGCAUGCCUUACACAUGCAAGUCGAACGGUAACAGGUCUUCGGAUGCUGACGAGUGGCGAACGGGUGAGUAAUACAUCGGAACGUGCCCAGUAAUGGGGGAUAGCUCGGCGAAAGCCGGAUUAAUACCGCAUACGCCCUGAGGGGGAAAGUGGGGGAUCGCAAGACCUCACGUUAUUGGAGCGGCCGAUGGCUGAUUAGCUAGUUGGUAGGGUAAAGGCCUACCAAGGCGACGAUCAGUAGCUGGUCUGAGAGGACGAUCAGCCACACUGGGACUGAGACACGGCCCAGACUCCUACGGGAGGCAGCAGUGGGGAAUUUUGGACAAUGGGGGAAACCCUGAUCCAGCAAUGCCGCGUGUGCGAAGAAGGCCUUCGGGUUGUAAAGCACUUUUGUCAGGGAAGAAAUCCUUUGGGCUAAUACCCUAGGGGGAUGACGGUACCUGAAGAAUAAGCACCGGCUAACUACGUGCCAGCAGCCGCGGUAAUACGUAGGGUGCAAGCGUUAAUCGGAAUUACUGGGCGUAAAGCGUGCGCAGGCGGUUGUGUAAGACAGGUGUGAAAUCCCCGGGCUUAACCUGGGAAUUGCAUUUGUGACUGCACGACUAGAGUGUGUCAGAGGGGGGUGGAAUUCCACGUGUAGCAGUGAAAUGCGUAGAUAUGUGGAGGAACACCAAUGGCGAAGGCAGCCCCCUGGGAUAACACUGACGCUCAUGCCCGAAAGCGUGGGGAGCAAACAGGAUUAAAUACCCUGGUAGUCCACGCCCCUAAACCAUGUCAACUAGUUGUUUGGGGGAUUUACUUCCUUGGUAACGUAGCUAACGGCGUGAAGUUGACCGCCUGGGGGAGUACGCCCCAAAGGUUAAACUCAAAGGGAAUGACGGGGGACCCGCACAAGCGGUGGAUGAUGUGAAUUAUUUCGAUGCACGCGAAAAACCUUACCCUACCCUGGACAUGGGAGGGAACUUUCCAGAGAUGGAUUGGUGCUCGAAAGAGACCUUGCACACAGGUGCUGCAUGGCUGUCGUCAGCUCGUGUCGUGAGAUGUUGGGUUAAGUCCCGCAACGAGCGCAACCCUUGUCAUUAGUUGCUACGAAAGGGCACUCUAAUGAGACUGCCGGUGACAAACCGGAGGAAGGUGGGGAUGACGUCAAGUCCUCAUGGCCCUUAUGGGUAGGGCUUCACACGUCAUACAAUGGUCGGUACAGAGGGUUGCCAAGCCGCGAGGUGGAGCCAAUCCCAGAAAACCGAUCGUAGUCCGGAUCGCAGUCUGCAACUCGACUGCGUGAAGUCGGAAUCGCUAGUAAUCGCGGAUCAGAAUGCCGCGGUGAAUACGUUCCCGGGUCUUGUACACACCGCCCGUCACACCAUGGGAGUGGGUUCUACCAGAAGUGGCUAGUCUAACCGCAAGGAGGACGGUCACCACGGUAGGAUUCAUGACUGGGGUGAAG